AGAGUUUGAUCCUGGCUCAGAUUGAACGCUGGCGGCAUGCCUUACACAUGCAAGUCGAACGGCAGCACGGGAGCAAUCCUGGUGGCGAGUGGCGAACGGGUGAGUAAUAUAUCGGAACGUGCCCAGUAGUGGGGGAUAGCCCGGCGAAAGCCGGAUUAAUACCGCAUACGACCUGAGGGUGAAAGCGGGGGAUCGCAAGACCUCGCGCUAUUGGAGCGGCCGAUAUCAGAUUAGCUAGUUGGUGGGGUAAAGGCCUACCAAGGCUACGAUCUGUAGUUGGUCUGAGAGGACGACCAGCCACACUGGGACUGAGACACGGCCCAGACUCCUACGGGAGGCUGCAGUCGAGAAUAUUUAGCAAUGGGCGAAAGCCUGACUAUGUGACGCCGCGUGAGGGAUGAAGGUCUUCGGAUCGUAAACCUCUUUCGAUGGGAAAGAAACUUUUAGUUAAUCACUAAAACUGACGGUACCCAGAGAAGAAGCCAUGGCCAACUCCGUGCCAGCAGCCGCGGUAAUACGGGGAUGGCGAGCGUUACUCGGAUUUAUUGGGUGUAAAGGGCAGGUAGGUGUUCCGCCAAGUUAGAAGUGAAAUCCUGUGGCUCAACCACAGAACUGCUUCUAAAACUGGCGGAAUUGAGGUCAGAAGAGGAAAGCGGAAUUCCCGGUGUAAGGGUGAAAUCUGUAGAGAUCGGGAGGAACACCUGUGGCGAAAGCGGCUUUCUGGUCUGACCCUGACGCUGAACUGCGAAAGCUAGGGGAGCAAACAGGAUUAGAUACCCUGGUAGUCC
rnacentral:rRNA from 1 species